UACGGGGGGGGCAAGCGUUGUUCGGAAUUACUGGGCGUAAAGGGCUCGUAGGCGGCCAACUAAGUCAGACGUGAAAUCCCUCGGCUUAACCCGGGAACUGCGUCCGAUACUGGGAGGCUUGAAUCCGGGAGAGGGAUGUGGAAUUCCAGGUGUAGCGGUGAAAUGCGUAGAUAUCUGGAGGAACACCGGUGGCGAAGGCGGCAUCCUGGACCGGCAUUGACGCUGAGGCGCGAAAGCCAGGGGAGCAAACGGG
rnacentral:rRNA from 1 species